GACGUAGGGCGCGAGCGUUGUCCGGAUUUAUUGGGCGUAAAGAGCUCGUAGGCGGUUUUGUAAGUCUUAUGUGAAAUCUACAGGCUCAACUUGUAGUCUGCAUGAGAAACUGCAGGGCUUGAGUAUGGGAGAGGUGAGUGGAAUUCCUGGUGUAGCGGUGAAAUGCGUAGAUAUCAGGAGGAACACCUGUGGCGAAAGCGGCUCACUGGACCAUAACUGACGCUGAUGCACGAAAGCUAGGGGAGCAAACAGG
rnacentral:rRNA from 1 species